CGUGAGAAUCUAGCUCUAGGUUUGGGACAACCACUGGAAACGGUGGCUAAUACCGAAUGUGCCGAGAGGUGAAAGGCUUGCUGCCUGGAGAAGAGCUUGCGUCUGAUAAGCUAGUUGGUGGGGUAAGGGCUUACCAAGGCGACGAUCAGUAGCUGGUCUGAGAGGAUGAUCAGCCACACUGGGACUGAGACAAGGCCCAGACUCCUACGGGAGGCAGCAGUGGGGAAUUUUCCGCAAUGGGCGAAAGCCUGACGGAGCAAUACCGCGUGAGGGAGGAAGGCUCUUGGGUUGUAAACCUCUUUUCUCAGGGAAGAAGAAAGUGACGGUACCUGAGGAAUAAGCAUCGGCUAACUCCGUGCCAGCAGCCGCGGUAAUACGGAGGAUGCAAGCGUUAUCCGGAAUGAUUGGGCGUAAAGGGUCCGCAGGUGGCAUUGUAAGUCUGCUGUUAAAGAGUCCAGCUCAACUGGAUAAGAGCAGUGGAAACUACCAAGCUAGAGUAUGGUCGGGGCAGAAGGAAUUCCUGGUGUAGCGGUGAAAUGCGUAGAUUUCAAGAAGAACACCGGUUGCGAAAGCGUUCUGCUAGUCCGAGACUGACACUGAGGGACGAAAGCUAGGGGAGCGAAUGGGAUU
rnacentral:rRNA from 1 species